UACGGGGGGUGCGAGCGUUGUCCGGAAUCACUGGGCGUAAAGGGCGCGUAGGUGGUUUGAUAAGGGUGUGGUGAAAGUCCGGAGCUCAACUCCGGAUCUGCCGUGCCGACUGUCAAACUCGAGGGCUGUAGAGGCAGACGGAAUUCCGGGUGUAGGGGUGGAAUGCGUAGAGAUCCGGAGGAAGACCGGUGGCGAAGGCGGUCUGCUGGGCAGCUUCUGACACUGAGGCGCGACAGCGUGGGGAGCAAACAGG
rnacentral:rRNA from 1 species